rnacentral:misc_RNA from 1 species
GGGGGAUUAUGACAAGCAACUAAACAGAUCUAAGCAAGUUAAAUAUCCAAUAAAAAGUUUCUCAGUUUCUUGUGGUCUCGAGGACUUCUCACCAAAUCUAUAUGAUGGCUAACUCUUCCAUACUUGUGCAUAAAAAUGGGAUUGAUAAAUUUAGUACACUUUUUUGUAAGAAAAGAACCUCACCUGUCAAAGCUAAAAAUAAGAACUUUUUUACUCUAUACCAAGAAUCAAAUACCUGCCCAAUACUGGGUCAAAUUACACGAUACAAACUCGUACGAGCAUGCCUGCCAAAAUUAAACUAUAGCAGUUGUACAAGAACUAAUGAAGGUACAAGAACUAGGAGAAUAAAGGUACUGGAACUAGAACUGAUGGAGGCAAGGUAAGUUCAUCCUCCAGCAUCACUCGCACAGUUCAAAAGAAUUGCAGCAAUCAGCUUUAAGUUCUGGCAUCAUAUAGCUAUACCUCAAAAGAUGAAUUUUAAUUUAUCAGCAAUUUCAUACUACAAAUUGAUAAAGGACGUAUGAAUGUAAGCCAAUUGAAGAUUUUUUUUUUUCAUGGGGGAGAAUGGGGAGAAGUUACUGGGAAGGUACAAAUGGCUUUGAGCUUCCAUAUAAUGCCAAGGUCGCAAAAUACCAAAAGAAUAUAUCUAAGCUGUGAAACAAUCAGCAAUAUAGAUUAGUUUACGCAAUAGAAUUUGAGGAAUUCAAUGAGGGCAAGUUCAAAACAAUAAAAGCAAAUUAGAAUUGAAAUCUUGAAAUCAUGUUCUAGCCAAUUUUACAUUUAGAAUCGACCUAUAUUACCUUGGAUGGUACAGGGUCAGAAUAUGAAACAUAAAUCUCCAACAACUGUUUUGUUUUGACUUCGUGUGGAAAUGAUUACAAUUACAACAACACAGAUUUGAGCUUGAAAUAAAAGAUCUAGCAGGAAAAAAUUCAUUGAUAAAUUACCACAGGAGGAAAUUUGAAGUCCGAAAUGAAUGGCAUUACCUGAGAACUUUUCAUCAAAUCAUGAUAAAAAUCAUACUCUGCUUCAUAAUCAUGUAACUUAAGCUCGCCCUUUUGAUUAGUAUGAUAAUGGUGCUUAGCCAAAGUGGAUUUUCCAAAGCCAAAUACACUAACUUUGUCGCAAAUCCCCACAGCCAGCAUUACAGCUUGGAAACCAGAAGAGUAAUGAAACAUGGAACCAUCAUGUGCAGAGCUCCAUUCAUCCAACGACUUCUCUGUCUCCUCCACAAACCGUUUCAGGGAGUAGUACUUUACAAUCCUCGCACACAACAUAUCAAAACGUGGAUCAGUGACAAUCAAAGGCGCCCUGUGAGACAAAUUGCAAAUGGUAUAGUCCAAGAAAUGCACAGGUUGACAAACAUACAUAACCAUGGGGACAUUAACCCCAUAUGGGUGACAAAAACACCCUUGUCUCCUGGCACAAAGAUGCAAUAUGUUGCUAUUUACAAAGGAAAUAUUAGUUUUAGACCCAACAUGUUGCUGAAAUCUCUCUGUCCUCGCAUUGUUCAAUCUGAUAACAAUCUCAUGGCCAUCAAUCAACUCCCCAUAAUCUUUUUGCAACAGAAUCCCACUGUUCCCCACUACAGCACAAGAACUGUACUUCCUGUUUGAACCCACCAAUCCACUAUGCUCAUCAAUUGGAUUCUUUACCAGACCUAUCAAUUCAUUCAUUAUAUCAGGUUGAUACCUCUUGGCUCGAGCCCAAUCAUGCAAUACCUUCCUAAAAUCUAACCAAUACCGAUAAAACUGCGGUGACCUAAGCGUUACAGGCACGCCCCUGGAUGAGCUAGCUCUGAUAUCAUGGUGAUUGAACCUUCUCCAAGUAGCGAAAGUCCUAUACCUCCCUUGACUAGCAAAGUUACCUUCUAACAGCUGCUCUAUUUCUUGUUUUGCUUGAGCUUCACCUAUAUCAAUAGCUGCAUAUUUUAGCAGUGUAGAGUUGAAAACUGGGACUGGUGGUUGGACUAUGACAUUGGUUUGGAGCUCAAUUGAGCUGAAGCGGCCGCCACGGCGGAUUAGGAUCCGGCAACUAAGUGUAAUAGCAAACACAAUCAGAAAGAGAAUGCUAAAGAGUGGACGGAUUGACCUCUUCAUUGGCGCAAUGAAAUCGGCAGCCCAGUUAAUGGGUAUCCCUACAUCCGACCACCACCACCGGAUGAAAAUUGUAUCAGAUCCAUCUUCACAUACAAGAGUUUUUGGCAUCCAAAGAAGUGAAAAGAAAAGAAAUCAAGAAAGUGGACUAGGAGACAUAAAUACAAUGAUGGGUAAGUUUAUGGACAAAAUACAUUUCAAGAACAACAGCAAUGAUUGACUAAAAGAAGAAACUUUGCAACUUGAACAUAAAUAUUAUCUGAAUAUUUAUAAGAAAAUUUUGGGUACCCAAAUCUUGCAGUGGAAAAGGCUAAAAAAAAAUGGAAAUAUAGGAGGUGCUACAAGAAAGUGAAAUCGGAAUUGCAGAUGGGAAUAAACUUUGGAUGAAAGGCUUGGUAAAGAAAUGGGAAUUUCAUGACUGAGCAGGGUAGCUAAAAAAUAGACUUUAAACUUUGGGGCGGUGAUUGAGAUUAAGAGGAGAUAAACUUAAGAUCUAAAAAGAGAAAGGUGAGCGAUAGAGGGUUUUGUGCCCAGUGAUGGUGCCGUCUGGGGGUGGUGGGGAAAAGGAGGAGAGGAUGAGAAUAUAUGAGCGUAUGAGUAGGGAAAUGGCAAUGGACGUAAAGGCUUAAUAAAAAAAACUAUAUUUGAAGGUCUG